GUGCCUGUCAUCUUCGUUGCUGCCCACAUGAUGUCAUCUGGCUGCUCUUGGGCAGGGCUGGGAGCCGCUUUGGGGUUCUGGGAAGGGCAGGGGGGCUCUGUGGCUCUAAACCAUCUCCCUUUAACCCCCUUUGUCCGUCCACAGCUCUCGGCCACUUUCACCAUUCCCAUCUGGCAGUGGUUCUUGACCCGGUUUGGCAAGAAGACAGCUGUAUAUGUUGGGAUCUCAGUGAGUGGGGUUGAAGAGCAGAGCCUGGGUUGAGUUGGGGAUGUCUGGAGGGAACCUCUCAGCUGACUCAUCUUCCUGCACCCCCUUCCCUAGUCAGCAGUGCCAUUUCUCAUCUUGGUGGCCCUCAUGGAGAGUAACCUCAUCAUUACAUAUGUGGUAGCUGUGGCAGCUGGCAUCAGUGUGGCAGCUGCCUUCUUACUACCCUGGUCCAUGUUGCCUGAUGUCAUUGACGACUUCCAUCUGAAGCAGCCCCACUUCCAUGGAACCGAGCCCAUCUUCUUCUCCUUCUAUGUCUUCUUCACCAAGUUUGCCUCUGGAGUGUCACUGGGCAUUUCCACCCUCAGUCUGGACUUUGCAGGGUACCAGACCCGCGGCUGCUCGCAGCCGGAACGUGUCAAGUUUACACUGAACAUGCUCGUGACCAUGGCUCCCAUAGUUCUCAUCCUGCUGGGCCU
rnacentral:sRNA from 1 species